GACGAACGCUGGCGGCGUGCCUAAUACAUGCAAGUCGAACGCAGUGGGGACGGGUGAGUAACACGUGGGUAACCUCCCAUCAUAGGGGUUAACACUUGGACACAGGUGCUAAACCGAUACUGAUGGUUGGACCCGGGUUGCAUUAGCUAGUUGGUGAGGGAAAGGCCCACCAAGGCCACGAUGGAUAGCGGGCCUGAGAGGAUGAUCAGCCACACUGGGACUGAGACACGGCCCAGACUCCUACGGGAGGCAGCAGUGGGGAAUAUUGGACAAUGGGCGCAAGCCUGAUCCAGCCAUGCCGCGUGUAUGAAGAAGGCCUUCGGAUUGUAAAGUACUUUUGGUAGGGAGGCGUUACCUAAAGAAGAAGCACCGGCUAACUACGUGCCAGCAGCCGCGGUAAUAC
rnacentral:rRNA from 1 species